AACAAUAGUGGAGGAACCCGAGCCGCGCGGAACGGCGGUGGUGGCCUGCGGAGCCGGACGGGGCACUAUGAACGAAGAGGAGCAGUUUGUAAACAUUGAUUUGAAUGAUGACAACAUUUGCAGUGUUUGUAAACUGGGAACAGACAAAGAAACACUCUCCUUCUGCCACAUUUGUUUUGAGCUAAAUAUUGAGGGUAAGGACACAGUAUAGUUUUGAUCUUAUGGAAUGAAUUUAACACAGCUGCUUUGUACUGAUUGUAAGGUAAAACUAAAAUAUCUUCAAUGAUUGGAAAUUGUGCUAAGUAUGAAUAGUGUAGAGAUUUGUUAAAGAUAAGGUUUCUGGAAAUGAAGGUGCAGUUAACAGAGUUACGAAUUUAAGAGAAAUCUUUUUUUUUUAAAGACCCCUGCAACAACCCCAUUUUUCCUAAUACAGAAAUAAGUAUGAGUGUUGACUGGGAAACGUGUUUUCUGGUUUGAGAGCUUAUUGAAUUGUCAGAUUUUAACAGACUUGUGUGUUUUUUAUAUUAAGAAGUAACAACAAUUUUUUUAUUCUUUCGAGCCUAUUAUGCAAGUAUUUGAGUGAGAUGAGCCCGAACUCUUUUCUCACCAGUAUGAUCUUAUUAUCUGGAAAAAUACUUUAAAAUUUUUAGAUUAACCUCUUUU
rnacentral:sRNA from 1 species